UCGUCGAGGACGGUGGAGGCGACGCGGGAGGUGUCGACGCCGGUGACGAGGGAGACGUCGUCGCCGCUGGAGACGACGGAGAGGUCGUACUUGCCGGAGGCGCUGGAGGCGAGGGUGGAGAGGGGGCCCUUGGCCGUCUUGAGCGAGGACUUGGGGGUGUAGGAAGGGAGGGCGUGGUACUGGAGGAGGGCGACGAGGUCGGCGCUGGAGAGGGAGGAGAGGUCGGGGGCGUCGGGGGACUUGAAGGCGUCGUCGUUGGGGGCGAGCAGGGUGAGGCCCUUGUCCAUGGCGGCCUGGUAGAUCUUGAGGACGCCGGAGGAGGCGACGAGGGAGGCGAAGGUCUUGCAGCCGGCCUUGUCGAGCAGCGCGGUGAUGUUGGCGGAGGCGGCGGAGGGGGCGUCGAGCAGGCCCGGGAAGAGGAUGGGCGCCGACACCUCCAGCACGGACAGGUUGUAGGGGAUCUGCCGCACCGACUUGG
rnacentral:lncRNA from 1 species